rnacentral:rRNA from 1 species
UAGCUUCAGCGAUGGAUCGGUUGAUUCGCGUAUCGAUGAAAAACGCAGCUAGCUGCGUUAUUUACCACGAAUUGCAGACGCUUAGAGUGGUGAAAUUUUGAACGCAUAGCGCCGUUGGGUUUUCCCUUCGGCACGUCUGGUUCAGGGUUGUAAACGAUAUAAUACAGCAUGGAUUGUUGUGCUGUGUGUCGAAUGGUACUUGCUGUUACAUCGUAACAGUCAAUCCCAUUCAAGUAAAGAAUGUUUGCAACGUGGCUUUGUGAUGGUGUCAAAGCUCCUGAAUGAUGUGAACGCGAUUGUUACCGUAUCAAAAUGUGCUCGAUGAGUAUGAGAUGAGUUUGAUCGGGGACCUGCUCUUAACAAUCGAUUGUUCAGACAUCAUUUGCAUUGCAACCUGAGCUCAGGCGUGACUACCCGCUGAACUUAAGCAUAUCAUUUAGCGGAGGAAAAG